CCUUUACUCAUGAGAAUGUCAUCCUUACUGAUUUUGAAACUACAAGAGAAAACAUGCAUAUUUGUAGUCAAAAGCAUAUAUCUGUUCUACACUAUAUACCCUCUUUCACACAAAGUCUAAUUACUUCUGCUCAGCAGAUUAAUUCCUUUUGCCUCUGCUACCAGAACAUCUUGCAAAAGGAGACUAAAGGAAUGGAUGAAGAUAGAAUGAGCACUAGAUUCCCACAAACAUUGUCCACGGAGAUUCUGAAGUCCUAAACUGGAAGAGAGGAGGAUAUCUUGUGUGGGGCUCCAACCAGAUAUCUCUACACCUACCCUGGAGAUAUUGUAAAUAUUUUUCAUAAAGGGGAAGCUUCUAAUGAGAAUCCUACUAUACUACAGAUUUGCAUGGAGUACUCGAAGGCCUGCUUAUUUGAGAAACAAGAAUAAAUCCACUCUAUUUCAUUAGAAUGACAAUAGAUUAAUUCAAAGUUUUCAUUUUCUACUCAUAGGAACCAGGAAAAUUUUCAAAUAAUAUUCUAAUUAUACUUUGUGAUAAAACAUUUUGAGACGCUGUGUGGCUCCUCGAGCACCUACAAGUUCGACAUGUGUGAAAACUGAGACCUUAAAAAUUUGAUAGCAUCCCUCCGACAUCAGAUAAGCCACAGGUAACUCAGCAUUAGACUAAGGAUACAGUUCUGAAAUAUUUACUACCAGUUGGAAUGUUUAUUAUGGAUGUUGUUUCAGCAUAGUCAAGAAGUUUGAUCCCUGGCUCCCUUGGAGAAAUUGUACAAACACAGACAUGGUCCUGUGCCCUCCCCCCAGCAAGAGCAUGCUAUUAAAUUAAAAGAGCAUGUAUUUAAUUCGGAGGUAUUUCAGACCUGUUUUAAACUUGGCUGGCUAACAAGCAGAAAAGAUAACUAACAACUAAAUAGCACUUUCUCUGAGCAAAGUGAUUGCGUUGUUGUGCUAAUAAUUUCCAAGUCCUUCUGUAGGCUAUGGUGAUUCAUAUCCUUCUCUGGAUUGCUGCUGCCCAGCAAGUUAUUUUGCACUUAAGCACUUGAAUUUCUUUUUUUGAGUGCAAUAUUAUUAUAAUUUUAUAUUAUAAUUUCUUUUGAGUGCUCAGUCCUCCUUAAGGUUAGCUAAAUUCGUGAGUUAUUUCCAGUGAAAUAAUUUAGAAUUGUAUUUCUGCCUUGUAAAUUCCUCCUUUCCAUUCUGGUAUCAUCUGUUAAUGGCUGUACUUAAUUUUCAAUCACUGAUGGAAUUGUUCAGUGGCUUAGUAGUUUUAACAGCUUUUUAAAGGAGUCUGUAUGCUCCCAGACUGACCAUCAGCUGUACUCUGAAUACAGGGCUGGUUAAGUGUUCACAUUCCAGCAAUUAGAUUUUGACUAUAUUUAAGCUGUUUGCUCAGAAGAAUGUUAACGUACACAGUGGCAAUAACUUGCUAAUAUCUAUCAUUCCUCCUACCCACAAAGUUACUUAAUUUGUCAAAGAAGAAAAUUAGAUUAAUUCAUACUGUUUAUUCCUGACAUGUCUCUCUGCUGGUUAUUCUUCUUUCACCUUAUUGACCUUCAUUAUUUACAAAUUGAUGAGUCAUGUGUUUCAGUGUCUUUCAGGCAUACUGUCCUCAUUACAGUUGAUGCUCCUUCGUAGAGCUCACUCAGGUGUGUGUGCUCAGCCUUAGCUCUACCCACCUCAGCCAUGAAUUGCAGCUUCUACUUUUUCAAUCCUUUGGAUUCUGUUCUUAAUUUUUUGGGGAGUCUCCUUUCGGUGUUUCUUUCUUUCCUUUUAAAUAUACCUAUCCUCCAAAAGGUGGAAUGUUGUACAGUGAAGCGUGGAGAACACAAAAGUUCAUUUAGCUGCUGUCUGAAUUUUCUGAUGUGGCUGCAGUGAAACUUUUGUUCUUCCAUUGACGAAUAUCUGUAAUUGCUUUCUUUCACCAUGUCUUCCUGUUACAACUUUUUCCCAUCUUUCACCUCUGUGGGAAUACUUUCCCUGUUGGUUUUGAAAGAUGCUUCUGCAGGCAACUGGGGCAGCAACUGGGCAGCCACGGAGCUCUCUGUGGGAGCCAGGUUUGUGCUUCAGGAAUGGUGCUAUCUCGGGUUUGACCGGAGGCCUCGCCCUCAGACAGAGUAAGGACGUGGGGAGCUCUCCCGUUAAAGAAUGUGGAUCACAAAAGGAGAGUUGUGAUGUGCUGGGAGGGGAGUCGCUCAGGAAAAUCAAUCUGAAUGAAUGAAAGGUAUGCUUCAAAGGUAGGCAUGGUAGAAAUCAAUCAGCCCCCCAAAGAGGAAUAAAAAUUGAUUUUCUUUGGACUUUAGUAUAUGUCUCUUUGAAAACAAAGUCUAUUAAAUUAAGACCAGCCUAGAUUUUGAAUCAGCCAUGCACAGAGCAGUUCAGAAACAUUUAAAACUUUAAACAUUGACUCAGAUUUUCAGAAAACUGCUAUAUAAAAGUGGUUUGUUAUUUCUUUUCCUUCUGUCCUCGGCAACGCUCGGUAUGCUGUUGGUACUUGAAAGAAAUAAUGAAUAGUACUGAACGGUUACAUUUGUGUUCUCUGUAUUUUCUCUGCCUGGAGUUGAAAGAUAAAGGAUUUUAGUAGAGGCAUGAAAGCAAUAUUUUAGAUUACAUAUUUUAAUUUUUUUUCUUCCUGUUGCCUGCUAGAAAGUUGCAAAAUCCUUCCUAAAUCCCUUGUAAAGACCUAAAACAAUCAACAGGAGUAAAGAGUCGAAAGCAUUCAUACACAGUAGAUGACAUCUUCUCUUACAGUCACUGAAUUCUUUCUGCAUCAGCUAAACCUCGAGCAUCCCUGCGUCUCAGUGAGUCCAGCAUGUGAAAGCUGUACAACAAUCACAUUUCAUGAACAAAUGGAUCAAAAAAAUAGAAUACUUUUUUUUAGUAGAUGCAUACAUUUUAGACAUUUUCAUUUUGGCUCAUGUUCCACAGCAAGAGAAGUCAGGAAUAAGUUUGCUGGCUUCCACCUGGGCAGAUAAACCUGGAUCUAGGAGAGUGUUUCCGAGGGGAGAAUUUGUCUUCUUGGUAACCAGGAAAGGGAAAGCCUCUUGCAGGGAUUGUGCAGCAGAGACCCCAGGGAUGAAGAGCCUCAGCUGGACGCAGCCAUAUGGAAGGAACUAGGGACUCCCUGGAGCAUUUACACACCACACCUUGCUGGAGGCUUCAUCAUCCAUCCCUGCUGGGGGCAGAAAGAUAAAUCACUUUCACCUAUUGCUGAGGUCUCAGAACACGUUGUAAAUCGCAUGGAGCUGCAUGCACAAAGAAGGAAAACUAAAACCAGUUUAGUUAGAAACCGUAUGCACAUACAUUUUCCUAGGAAUGCUGAAGAUGCAACAACAAUAAACAACAGAAUUUAACAGGAACAUUGUGUGUAUUCAUAAUACAACUUUUGGAAGCUGAUGGUAAAGAGCAGCGCUCAUGCUGCUACUCGACAUAUUUUUAUGUAUGAAAUAACACUUGCUCAUUUAAUUUUCAAAAAUAAUUCAUGGGAGAUUCUGGUGUGCUUCACAUGAAAGCUGUAACUGAAGGAAACGCCAAGAAAAUCCUCUUCCUCCGUCAGCAGUGGGAGAAACAAAACACAAGACCCUCGGUGAGAAGCCGGAGAUGUGUACGAGUGCAGCAGGCGACGCUUCAGCCCGCUCCCUUCCUCUCCCUCCAGGCACAACACACGCAGACAUCGCGGCGGACCCCAGCCCCGUUCUCUCUCUCCGUUUGACACCCGGAGGCCGCGUGAGAAAGUCCCCGCAGAACUCCUGGCGGGGGGAAGCCCCACGCUCUCAGGGGUGCUGCCCCUCCCGACGCCGCCUCCGCGCUCGCCCAACUUUCAUUCAUUGUUGGCGUCGCCGCCGGCCCCCC
ensembl:lncRNA